UACGGGGGAUGCGAGUGUUAUCCGGAAUCACUGGGCGUAAAGCGUCUGUAGGUGGUUUAAAAAGUCCACGGUUAAAGGUUGGGGCUUAACCCCGAAAAUGCCGUGGAAACGUUUAGACUAGAGUAUGGUAGGGGUAGAGAGAAUUUCCAGUGGAGCGGUGGAAUGCGUAGAUAUUGGAAAGACUACCGAUGGCGAAGGCACUCGACUGGGCCACUACUGACACUGAGAGACGAAAGCUAGGGGAGCAAAUGGG
rnacentral:rRNA from 1 species